GCCGAGGUAGCCUAGCCAGGUCAAGGCGGUGGCCUCGAGAGCCACUGGCGCUCUGCGCCACGGGAGUUCGAAUCUCCCCCUCGGCG
rnacentral:tRNA from 1 species